GAUGAAGAACGCAGCGAAAUGCGAUAAGUAAUGUGAAUUGCAGAUUUCAGUGAAUCAUCGAAUCUUUGAACGCAUCUUGCGCUCCUUGGUAUUCUGAGGAGCAUGCCUGUUUGAGUGUCAUUAAAUUCUCAACUACACUGACUUUGAAUUGGUGUGGCUUGGAUUUGGGUGGGAAAAUUGUUGUGGGCUUUUUGUAUAGUCUGCUCCCCUGAAAUUGAUUAGCGGUACCUUUGUGGAACUGUCUACAGUUGUGAUAAUUAUCUACAUCCUAGACAUCUGCUGGAAUGCUGCUUUCUAAACCUUACUUGUAUUGACAAUCUUGACCUCAAAUCAGGUAGGACUACCCGCUGAACUUAAGCAUAUCAAUAAGCGGAGGA
rnacentral:misc_RNA from 1 species